rnacentral:rRNA from 1 species
CACGUAGGGCGCAAGCGUUGUCCGGAAUUAUUGGGCGUAAAGAGCUCGUAGGCGGUCUGUUGCGUCCGCUGUGAAAACUCGGGGCUUAACCCCGAGCCUGCAGUGGAUACGGGCAGACUAGAGGUAGGUAGGGGAGAAUGGAAUUCCCGGUGUAGCGGUGAAAUGCGCAGAUAUCAGGAAGAACACCCGUGGCGAAGGCGGCUCUCUGGGACGGUACUGACGCUGAGGCACGAAAGCGUGGGGAGCAAACAGG